AGCGGAGCCGGCGGCGGCGAGUAGGGGGCAAUUCGAAGGAGACGCGCAGCUUACACCCGCGGCGGGUGGAGGGAGCAAUGUGACGAAACCAUUGAGCUUGACCGACCUUCCCUCAUGGAGUUGGCUUUUAGCCUCACGGCCGGUUUCUGUUGGGUGAAAGCCGCACCUUCUCCUCGAACCAGGGCCCGACAUUGGAGCCCUCUCCCUCGCAUCCACUGCCCUAGUCCAGCGUCAAGAUCACGGAAUUCCAGGCUGGGCGCAGUGGCUCACGCCUGUAAUCCCAGCACUUUGGGAGGCUGAGGCUGUGAGCCACCGUGCCCCGCCCUCCCAGCACCUUCCUUGAUGCUGACCCCUGCUCAGCCCCUCAAUUAAGGUGCUGCACUGCACCUCAUUCGCAGGGGGCCUCUUCGCCGGAACUCGCUUUCAGGUGGGUCUACAAUUAGUUGGGAAACAACGGGUUGCAAGGCUGACCUGGUCUGGGACAUGAGAAGGGGUGAACUACAAGGGUUUCAAGGUUGGAGGACGUUAGGUCGGGCCUCCGGGGGUGUGGGAUUGAGGCUGUGUUCUUCCACAAAUUGCAUCCCAAUUUUGCACAACUUAGCAAGAAAACCCCCCUCAGCCUUCCUAGAAACUAACAUUAAGGUAGUGGUUAGGUGUUAAAACCGUUCCAUGUACUUCACUGGUUUAACUUGACAACCGUAUGAGGUAUACAUGAGAUAUCUGCAUCCCACCAAAGUUAAACAACUUGCUCAAGGUCACAGAGCCAUUAAGCGGCGGUGCCCGCAGUUUUGCAGCCUCUCAUUUUCCACAGGUGGAAGUCAACGUUGGCAAGGCACAUACUGCACCCACACACAGAACCCAGUUACUCAGUGGGGUAUCAGGACACCACGUAGCCCUUAAUUUUCAACUAUACAGGUGCCAGGCUCCUGCCGCACACACUCAUCCACCUGCACCUACACCCACACUGAACCAGAGCACUAAAAUACAAGGAAACUUUUAUUUUCAAUUUUCAUCAAGAAAUUUGCUGUGGUUUUUUAUGCUUUUGGUUUUUUCCUUUUUUUUUUUUUCCACUUUAUUUCAUUUAGCCGCUCAGUGGCUAGAGCCGCUGGGUUCCUGGUAUUAAAAAGAUGCCAACAGAGGUAGCUGUGUCUCGCCCAGGGGCCCAGCCCACUCUGAAUACCCCCCAAAAAGGAGAAAAGAAAACACAAAAUAAACCAACAAAAUAAAACCAAAAGGAGGAAAAAAUUCAGAUCAUUUUCUUCAAGCCUGGCAGGAACCCACAA
rnacentral:lncRNA from 1 species